rnacentral:rRNA from 1 species
AUUGAACGCUGGCGGCAUGCCUUACACAUGCAAGUCGAACGGUAACAGGUCUUCGGAUGCUGACGAGUGGCGAACGGGUGCGUAAUACAUCGGAACGUGCCCGAUCGUGGGGGAUAACGAGGCGAAAGCUUUGCUAAUACCUCAUACGAUCUACGGAUGAAAGCGGGGGAUCUUCGGACCUCGCGCGGACGGCUCGGCCGAGGGCGGCUUAGGUAGUUGGUGGGAUAAAAGCUUACCAAGCCGACGAUCUGUAGCUGGGCUGAGAGGAUGAUCAGCCACACGGGGACUGAGACACGGCCCAGACUCCUACGGGAGGCAGCAGUGGGGAAUUUUGGACAAUGGGCGAAAGCCUGAUCCAGCCAUGCCGAGUGCAGGAUGAAGGCCUUCGGGUUGUAAACAGCUUUUGUACGGAACGAAAAGCCUCUUGCUAAGAAAGAGGGGUAAUGACGGUACCGUAAGAAUAAGCACCGGCUAACUACGUG